GACGAACGCUGGCGGCGUGCUUAACACAUGCAAGUCGAACGGAAAGGCCUUUUCGGAGGUACUCGAGUGGCGAACGGGUGAGUAACACGUGGGUGAUCUGCCCUGCACUCUGGGAUAAGCCUGGGAAACUGGGUCUAAUACCGGAUAGGACCGCACUUUAGUGUGUGUGGUGGAAAGUUUUUUCGGUGUAGGAUGAGCCCGCGGCCUAUCAGCUUGUUGGUGGGGUAAUGGCUUACCAAGGCGGCGACGGGUAGCCGGACUGAGAGGUUGGUCGGCCACAUUGGGACUGAGAUACGGCCCAGACUCCUACGGGAGGCAGCAGUGGGGAAUAUUGCACAAUGGGCGCAAGCCUGAUGCAGCGACGCCGCGUGGGGGAGGACGGCCUUCGGGUUGUAAACUCCUUUCGCCAGGGACGAAGCGUUUUGUGACGGUACCUGGAGAAGAAGCACCGGCUAACUACGUG
rnacentral:rRNA from 1 species